GAUGAACGCUGGCGGCGUGCCUAAUACAUGCAAGUCGAGCGAACAGACGAGGAGCUUGCUCCUUUGACGUUAGCGGCGGACGGGUGAGUAACACGUAGGUAACCUACCUAUAAGACUGGGAUAACUUCGGGAAACCGGAGCUAAUACCGGAUAAUAUUUCGAACCGCAUGGUUCGAUAGUGAAAGAUGGCUUUGCUAUCACUUAUAGAUGGACCUGCGCCGUAUUAGCUAGUUGGUAAGGUAACGGCUUACCAAGGCAACGAUACGUAGCCGACCUGAGAGGGUGAUCGGCCACACUGGAACUGAGACACGGUCCAGACACCUACGGGAGGCAGCAGUAGGGAAUCUUCCGCAAUGGGCGAAAGCCUGACGGAGCAACGCCGCGUGAGUGAUGAAGGUCUUCGGAUCGUAAAACUCUGUUAUUAGGGAAGAACAAACGUGUAAGUAACUGUGCACGUCUUGACGGUACCUAAUCAGAAAGCCACGGCUAACUACGUG
rnacentral:rRNA from 1 species